UGAUUUUAUUGAGUGUCUAGAGAGCAACACUGGCUUUCCUCAGAGUAGGCAGAAAAUUCAGUAGAUACCCCAUGGAUAUUGUGCUCACUGUGAGAAGUCUUUCAAAAUUUACCAGGCACUGAAAUAAUUCACCUCAGUUCUUCGAUGAAGGUCAAGGAGGUGUGCAUUGGUCUUUGGUGAGCACACGGUAUAUUAUGAGGGUAUGACUGUCCCUGCAAUUGUGUCUGUUCAGUGUGCCUUUGUAAAGAGCCUGGGAUGGCUUCUUCAUGGAUCUGCCCUCUGUCUCUAAGUUUACCCAUGGAGAAGACAAAGGCUGCUGCACAGCUUCAUGCUGAAAAGGAAAUGUUGGCAAGUUGUUGCUUUGUAAAGAUCAACACUAUCACCGUAACAGUUGUCACUCAAAGUGGAGGAAGUGAAAUGCAAAUUUGGUGAGUAAUUAGUUUUGUGUCAUUCUUGGGUGUUCUAAAUGUUGCUAUUUAUCUGUCUUAGGUAAUCUAUUUAAAGAAGACACCAGAAGAAGCCUACAGAGCACUCCUGUCUGGCUCAAACGCCCCCUAUCUUCCAUUCAGGGAUGCUUCCUUUGGAAAUUGCACUUACAAUCUCACCAUUCUCGACUGUUUGCAGGGAAUCAGAAAGGGAUUGCAACAUGGAUUUUUUGACUUUGAGACAUUUGAUGUGGAUGAAUAUGAACAUUAUGAGGUUUGUACAUUUAAUUUUUUUUAUAAAACAUAAUUUCAUGUUGAUUAAUUUUUCCCCGUCACACUCAUGUAUUGCAAAUCGAGUGGGUGCUAAAUAAAAGCAUUCUGGAGUUUUC
rnacentral:sRNA from 1 species